GUGCUUGCUUCGGCAGCCCAUAUGCUAAAAUUGGAAUGAUACAGAGAAGAUUAGCAUGACCCCUGUGCAAGGAUAAUGCACAAAUUCAUGAAGCAUUCCAUAUUUUU